rnacentral:rRNA from 1 species
GACGUAGGGCGCGAGCGUUGUCCGGAUUUAUUGGGCGUAAAGAGCUCGUAGGCGCUUGUCGCGUCGUCCGUGAAAACCUGCAGCUCAACUGCAGGCUUGCGGUCGAUACGGGCAUCACUGGAGUUCGGCAGGGGAGACUGGAAUUCCUGGUGUAGCGGUGAAAUGCGCAGAUAUCAGGAGGAACACCUGCGGCGAAGGCGGGUAGCUGGGCCGACACGUGACGCUGAGGCGCGAAAGCCAGGGGAGCGAACGGG